rnacentral:rRNA from 1 species
UACGUAGGGUGCGGGCGUAAUCGGAAUUACUGGGCGUAAAGCGUGCGCAGGCGGUUUUGUAAGACAGGCGUGAAAUCCCCGGGCUCAACCUGGGAAUGGCGCUUGUGACUGCAAAGCUGGAGUGCGGCAGGAGGGGGGAUGGAAUUCCGCGUGUAGCAGUGAAAUGCGUAGAUAUGCGGAGGAACACCGAUGGCGAAGGCAAUCCCCUGGGCCUGCACUGACGCUCAUGCACGAAAGCGUGGGGAACAAACAGGA